GCCCGGGUGGCGGAACUACUGGUCAGACGCGAUCGGCUUAAACCCGAUUGUCCGCGAGGGCGUGUGGGUUCGAAUCCCACCCCGGGCA
rnacentral:tRNA from 1 species